UNGGAAUUACUGGGCGCAAAGCGGGCGCAGACGGUUACUUAAGCAGGAUGUGAANUCCCCGAGCUCAGCCCGGGAACUGCGUUNUGAACUGGGUGACUAGAGUGUGUCAGAGGGAGGUAGAAUUCCACGUGUAGCAGUGAAAUGCGUAGAGAUGUGGAGGAAUACCGAUGGCGAAGGCAGCCUCCUGGGAUAACACUGACGUUCAUGCCCGAAAGCGUGGGUAGCAAACAGGAUUAGAUACCCUGGUAGUCCACGCCCUAAACGAUGUCGAUUAGCUGUUGGGCAGCAUGACUGCUUAGUAGCGAAGCUAACGCGUGAAAUCGACCGCCUGGGGAGUACGGUCGCAAGAUUAAAACUCAAAGGAAUUGACGGGGACCCGCACAAGCGGUGGAUGAUGUGGAUUAAUUCGAUGCAACGCGAAGAACCUUACCUGGUCUUGACAUGUACGGAACCCUCCAGAGACGGAGGGGUGCCUUCGGGAGCCGUAACACAGGUGCUGCAUGGCUGUCGUCAGCUCGUGUCGUGAGAUGUUGGGUUAAGUCCCGCAACGAGCGCAACCCUUGUCAUUAGUUGCCAUCAUUAAGUUGGGCACUCUAAUGAGACUGCCGGUGACAAGCCGGAGGAAGGUGGGGAUGACGUCAAGUCCUCAUGGCCCUUAUGACCAGGGCUUCACACGUCAUACAAUGGUCGGUACAGAGGGUAGCCAAGCCGCGAGGUGGAGCCAAUCUCACAAAACCGAUCGUAGUCCGGAUUGCACUCUGCAACUCGAGUGCAUGAGGUCGGAAUCGCUAGUAAUCGCAGGUCAGCAUACUGCGGUGAAUACGUUCCCGGGUCUUGUACACACCGCCCGUCACACCAUGGGAGUGGGGGAUACCAGAAGUAGGUAGGGUAACCGCAAGGAGCCCGC
rnacentral:rRNA from 1 species